rnacentral:rRNA from 1 species
CCUACGGGGGGCAGCAGUGAGGAAUAUUGGUCAAUGGGAGAGAUCCUGAACCAGCCAAGCCGCGUGAGGGAAGACGGCCCUAUGGGUUGUAAACCUCUUUUGUCGGAGAACAAAACCCGGGACGUGUCCCGGACUGCGUGUAUCCGAAGAAAAAGCAUCGGCUAACUCCGUGCCAGCAGCCGCGGUAAUACGGGGGAUGCGAGCGUUAUCCGGAUUUAUUGGGUUUAAAGGGUGCGUAGGCGGUCCGUUAAGUCAGCGGGAAAAUUGCGGGGCUCAACCCCGUCGAGCCGUUGAAACUGGCAGACUUGAGUUGGCGAGAAGUACGCGGAAUGCGCGGUGUAGCGGUGAAAUGCAUAGAUAUCGCGCAGAACUCCGAUUGCGAAGGCAGAGUACCGGCGCCAGACUGACGCUGAGGCACGAAAGCGUGGGGAUCGAACAGGAUUAGAUACCCGGGUAGUC